GGAAGAAGGAAAAAGAGGUUAUUCAGAAGCAACUGAAGAAAAGCCAAAAUGUGGAAGAGCAGGACAAAUUGCAGCAGCUCCUUAAGCGAAUGACACAACAGGAAGAAGCACAGAGAAAAUACCAGAAGAAGAGAGAACAUUCCCUGGCAUUCAAGAGGCAACAAAGAGAGUUGGCCAAGCAAGGAAAGAAGCCCUUCUUCCUAA